rnacentral:rRNA from 1 species
GGGUUGUGAGGUUAAGCGACUAAGCGUACACGGUGGAUGCCCUGGCAGUCAGAGGCGAUGAAGGACGUGCUAAUCUGCGAUAAGCGUCGGUAAGGUGAUAUGAACCGUUAUAACCGGCGAUUUCCGAAUGGGGAAACCCAGUGUGAUUCGUCACACUAUCAUUACGUGAAUACAUAGCGUAAUGAAGCGAACCGGGGGAACUGAAACAUCUAAGUACCCCGAGGAAAAGA